CAAUAAGCGGUUCUGCAGGAGAAUUUCUUCCCAAAGAAUUUGUACCUGCGAGAAAAGUCUCUGCAAAACCAGCAAGGAAGGAGUUAAGAGAGUCCAACUGGUGCUAACCAAUCACUCCAGUCACAUAGCACCUGAGGGGGGUGCUGCAUUUAUCAGGCUGGUCUGAACACACACACACACUGCAGCGCGUGCACGCACACAAUCACACACCCACACACACGCUCGCGCAGAGAAAGACACACACAAACAUUGGGAGGGUGAGCCCAAACUAGCUGGGCUGCAUUCACAAGUCAGCGCAGCGCCUCUGACUUCUUCACCUCUCAGCUAUGCUCUGCUUUUCUUUUUGAAAGUGCCGCUCGAUCUCCCCUUUUGACAAGCUACGAAAAGAAAAAAAGGGGGAAACACACAAUGCAGAGACACCUAAAGAAUGAACCCGGAAUCACUCCUAUGACGAGGGAUCGUGCAACUGAGAAAGUCAGCAUUGUGAGAUUGUCGCCUCGCUGGAAUAAAUUGGUUUGUGAAUAAAUGA